UAAAACUUUUGGUCUUUGCCAAGUUUCUGGUUCUUGUGUACUUAAUACUUAAUUAGUGUUCUGUCUCUUUAGUUUACAGCCCUUCCACUAGAGGGCACCCUCACACACAGCAGAUAGAUGUUCUUGAAGGGGAACAGCGGAGGCUCCGAGCAGGUCUGAGCACUGCUUCAUUUUGAGUUCCUCGUUGAGCGCUGCGGAGAGACAGAGGAUAAACACUUUGAGCUGAAAGGCCUGAGGAUCGACUGCUGCAGGUGACGUCUGUACUUUAUCUACUCACUCUGUGCAAGAGGUGAAGGAGAGAGGAUGAGUCGUCUCAUCGGGUUGGUGGGCGAGGCCGGUACAGACGUGGUCAGGAUACGGCGGUCUGGGGCGGGGGACCUGGACAGGGGACUGCUGCUGCACCACCGAUCUGCACCAGAAUGAAAGCAUGCAGUGAUCACUAAGUGUUUUCACACCUGAAGGUCCAAACCAAGCUCCAAACCAAGCUCCAUGUCUUUGUUGCGUCGUUCACAUUUUAUCCGAUAAGAUUUGGAUUCCUACAUAGUCUGUGUAUGAAGAUGGAUGACACGUCUCAACUUCCUCCAACUUUCCAGAAAUUAAGCUAGAAUACCCCAGAUACAAAUGCUGCCAUCUUGCACAUUUGGAGCCAGAGUCUGCACAGUAGCAAUCAGGGGAUGGAGCUGCAGGGGGGAGGUCCAGUCGAAAUACGUGCUGGACCAAUCAGAAGUCAGUCUCAGAUGUCCCCCCAUUUUUAUAGCAUCAAAUAACCAUUUGAAACAAAAUUUCCAGUGGGAAAAUAUUUUUGAUGUGUGCUUUGACUUUAUAGUUUGGUCCAUGUCCCAUACACUCACAAGGAGAAGGUCAGGUUAAUAACCUUUACUGCAACCAGCCACCAGGUAGCGAUUGAGACACAUUGGCUUCACUUUUGAUAAGUUGUCAUGUCGUCCAUCUUUACAGUCUGUAGUCUCACAUUGCAAUUAAGACUUUUGUGUGACAUACUAACAUCGUCAUUAUCUAUGUGGGCUGCAUUUUUGUGUCUUAUAUUGGGGUGUAUAUAACUUCCUAACAAAUUGAAAUAAAAAAUGGUAGCUCCUCCCUCCCCCAUGUGGCACCACAGCUCA